UUCUCCCGCAACGACCAAACCUAACCCGCGCCUCCCCUGCACCCCCCGCCUCCUCUCCUGCCGCCGCCACCUCCUCCCCGCGACCCCCGCCUGCUCCCCUAGCGCCGCCGCCUCCUGGGCCUCGCCCUCACCGGCUCGCGACCCCGCCCUCCUCCCCUGCCGCCGCCUCCAGCCCAAUCCCCUCACAGGCUUCCUCUUUCCCUCCACUCCCCAGACGCCGCCACUUGUGCUUGGCAGAAGGAGUGGCUGCGAUGAUGGAAGAUGCGUGAGGAGGACGAGGAGGAGGCCGUGGUCAUGGCGGCGCGACGGAUAUCGUGUUCGGGCGGCGCAGUUGGUCGAGGCAGAGGUGCCAGCCCGCGGGGUCGCAAUCGAGCUGGGCGUGAUGAGAGGGAGGAGAGGGAUGGGAAGAGUGGGAGGCGCAAGGACAGCGGCGCUUGCCAUCUCAUUCCCCAUCUCUUCUCGUUGCACGUCCCCCAUGAGUUCCUCUUUCUAAUCCCCUUCCUCUCCAUAAGUUAUCUUUUUAUUUUCUGAAAUAUGUAUGUUUGCUCAUUGGGCGGCCAUGGAUUCUAGAGAUGGAGGCCUCGACAGGAGGAGCUCGAGCCGAGGAGCGCGCCCUCGAUCCGGGCUCAACAGGGGGAGGGGAGCAGCAGCCGCGCCGGCCUCGUCGCAAUGCGUGCAGCAAGCUGAAGGCGCGGCAAGAGCGGCGGUCAAGACCACGGUCGCGGCUUCCGGGGACCAAGGUCGCUUCAUUCCGUCUCCUCCCCCUUUUUUUUCUUCUCAGGCAACAACAGAUGACAAGAUGCGAUGCCCCAUCUUCAGCUUGCAGGAGGGAACGCGAGCUCUCCUCACUGGUGACGGCGACCUGGCGAGGAGGUCCCUUGUUCUGUGGCCUGCCUCUGCGCGGCCGGCUGGCUGCUCAGGUGCGCGCACCAGUGCCUCUGCUCGCCCAGCCGACUGCUGUCCGCACAGACGCACACCACCCGGCAGCAGCGUGCCGAGCCGCCCCUGUUAGGCGGACUGCUGAAGCCGCCCAGUCCCGCCAGCCGCUCAGCCACUAAACCCGUUGCCUCUUCCGAAAGAGUGUUGCAUGGAGUACCAAGGCUUGCACGUUGCCCAAGGAUUGGACACCCAGUUGCUGAUCUACACCCCCUUAUCUGCAUUCCACACUAUUCAAAGGAGCUCCAGUAAGGUUGCUCGCCAAUGAGCUGGAAGUGUUUUUGUCCUGGGUGCUUGCACGAUUGAGGAAGAGACUGGUUAUUUCUAAAUGUGCUACUGCAGAUAAAAGAUGAACUCGUCCUAUUUUCUUUCUUCAAUCUGGGACAAGAUACAAAAGGUUUAGUAAAGGAGGACUCAAGUCUGCAACCACCAUAGAGAUAUGGCCAUGGAAGUAUGGAACAAUAGUGUGUGGAUGUUCUGUGCAAUUUUUCUCUCAUCGAGGUAUGCCUCCGUUUCACUGGGCCAGGCUCGACUUGCCAACUACAUACUCCUUCCAUAAAGAAAUAUAACAUCGUUUAGAUCACUAAAGUAGUGAUCUUUAGUGAUCUAAAGGCUCUUAUAUUUAUUUACAGAGGAAUUAUUUGUUUUCUUUGCUGCAAAGUAUUUUGAGAUGCGUAUGUUGAGAUGGAUGUGUGGCCACACGAGGAAGGAUAGAGUCCAGAAUGAUGAUAUACGAGAUAGAGUUGGGGUAGCACCGACUGAAAAGAAGCUUGUCCAACAUCGUCUGAGAUGGUUUGGGCAUAUUCAACGCAAGCCUCCAGAAGCCCCAGUGCAUAGCGGACGGCUAAAGCGUGCGGAGAAUGUCAAGAGAGGUCGGGGUAGACCGAAUUUGACAUGGGAGGAAUCCGUUAAGAGAGAUCUGAAGGAUUGGAGUAUCACCAAAGAACUAGCUAUGGACAGGGGUGCGUGGAAGCUUGCUAUCCAUGUGCCAGAGCCAUGAGUUGAUCGCGAGGCCUACCCCAACUUGUUUGGGAUUAAAGGCUUUGUUGUUGUUGUUUGCUGCAAAGUAUUUUGAGAUUAUAGUGUGUUGAGCAUGCAAUCCCGAUUCCAGGAAAAAAAUAUUAUGUAGUCCAUCGCACAUGCUCGGUUUCAGAGUAAAUCCAAAGCCAUUUGCUGCCUCUUGAAUUUUUGGUUCUACCUAAUGCACAAAAUCUCUCAUGGUUCUAUUUCUACCUGAUGUAGAAAAGCGACUAUUAUCUGUUGAUUGGCUUAUUGAUGUUUGGUACUGGUCAUAUUAGUUCCCUAGGGCCGUAAAAAACUACAUUUCUACUCUAUGAUUAUGUCUCAAAGAUGUUUUCUAGCUUGCAAGUUUGAUUUCUUUGUCUUCCACAUGGUCGGUUUAGUUUCUCACCUUGCUUAAAAAUUCAGGUUGAAAUGUUGCCAGUCCAGCCUAUGCUGAUGCUAUAAUGGGAUCAUGACAGAAAAUUAUUUAUUUUGUUAUAUACCUGCAGCUCACUUUGUUAAUUUCCACAACAGCAUUUUAUAUUUACAUUUAAAUUGUACUCCCUCUGUUCUUGAAAAGAAGGCAUAUCAAUUUUGGUCAAAGUCAAAUAAUGUAAAGUUUGACCAAGUUAAUCCAACAAACUUAUACAUUUUCUUUCCAGGGAGUACCUACUUAGUUUGAUUAUUGCAUCUACUUCUACUUCUACUUCAUUUCUGUACUCACAUUUAAAUUAGGCACCUACUUUAUUUCUACUACUUUUUUCCUGCACCUACAGUAUCAGUGUUGUAUCUGCUCGAUCAUGGAGCUAUGACUCUGUUACAUUGGGCUAAAGAUUGAUUGCUUGCACGGGUAUGUCAAGGUGUAGGUGCAGACUCAUUGCUGGUGUUGAAUACUGGAGCAAGAAUGAUGAUCAAUGCUCUAAUGAACCUGCAUGAUGUAGCAUUACUAUUGGGAUAUAUGGGUUAGGCACAUACUCUUUUUUGACAGUAGGUUAGACAAGUGUUUUUUUUUUUAGUUUUUCUCUGUCGAUUUCUCUUUUACUGUAAAGCAAAGGCUGAUUGUUAGUCUUUGUUGAGUCAAGAGAUUUUUUUACUUGGAAGAUCGCAACAUUGCCGAUAGAAGAAUGAGUUUUAUAGCAAAUCAGGUUUUGACUUCUAUACUAAUGGUUACAUCACCAUGAUGGUUGGAAUAUAAUUAAGACUUUGUUCGCACUUAA